AACUUAUCCAGAAUGGUGGAGGGACUGGCCCGACGAUACCAGGCAACCUAUUUAAGUUAGGUGCUAAUUCCAGCAGGUGAAGACCUGAAAGAUAAGAG
rnacentral:ncRNA from 2 species